UAGGUAGCCAUGAAGGAUUCUGUACUUAGAAAAGUCUUUGAAUUCCAAGAAAAAGAGGAGGUAGGCUGAAAGGGAGCUGUGAUCAAUAGCAGAGGUAUCAUUAUGUGGAUAUAAAGAAGGGCUGUGUGAUGAUCCUCUUUAGCACAGAGUUCAAAGACCUAGAUAAUGUCAACACUGGAAAGGUGUUUAUGCAGAAUUUUGGCACUUUUCUUGUGGAAGUAGUGAGCAAGGACCAGAAAUUACACCAUCGUUGAUCAUCAGCACCUGUUGUCAUGGAGAUCAAGGUAACAGACAAACUGCAGACCAUAUGGUACCACAGCUGACAGCUGAGAUUCAUCAACAAAAAGGAAGCCUGGGAGCCCACAUUCUUAUCAGUAUGACAGCAAGGACAAAUCUGGUUCAGUUCAUCAAAUACAAAUCUUGACCAGUAGAUUAACUUAGUCCCAUUUCC